rnacentral:misc_RNA from 1 species
UACGGAGGGUGCAAGCGUUGUCCGGAAUCACUGUGUGUAAAGGGUGUGUAGGCGGACCUGUAAGUCAGAAGUGAAAUCCCACGGCUCAACCGUGGAACUGCUUUUGAUACUGCAGGUCUUGAGUAUCGGAGAGGUUGCUAGAAUUCGUGGUGUAGCGGUGAAAUGCGUAGAUAUCACGAGGAAUACCAGAGGCGUAGGCGGGCAACUGGACGAUUACUGACGCUGAGGCACGAAAGCGUGGGGAGCAAACAGG